rnacentral:lncRNA from 1 species
GGCUGGAACCAGAGAGUUCAUGGCUAGCAGAGGAACUAACGAGAGAUAAAUUAUGGUUAGUUGCAGAAGACCCCACGGGUGCUGCAAGAGACCAGCUGGAACGGCUCGAGGACCGCCCGGGUCAGAGAGUACUUGGGCAGUGUGGAGCUGCUGAGAUGAAAGUAUCCCACAGUGCCAUGGGCCUAUGGGUGCCAGCGCUAGCCCAGGAUAAAAAGCUUCCUUGUGCCGGUUUGUCAAACCUGGUCUGUGGUUUCCACUGGAACUGGAGAUGAGUUUGCCUCCUUGAUGGACUCCAAACCCUUCAACACCUGGUGGCCUGACUUCACUUUCAACCUGUGCCAGCAGGCAGCAGGACUUGACUGCUGGGACAUCCCCACCCAUGAUGGGAGCACUGGCGGAAGCAAACUGCACAUAUGGGAGAAAGAGGGCUCUGGGCUGGGGUUAGGGGGUGGGCUGUAGGAUGUGCAUUCCCUGCACAGAUAUCGCCUGCAGGAGACCCCACUUAAGUUUGCCCUCGAGAUGGAAGAAGCCGGGCAGAAGUUCACCGAUGUGGGGGUCCAGACUAGUUUUAUUGACCAGCCUGGGAAUGCCACACUACAGGAGACACCUACUGGAACCCCUCCUCUUCUUGGGACUUGAUCAUGGAAAAAAAUUAUACUAUAGGGGGACCCUAUCUGGGGGACCAAGGGUAUUGGGAUACUCCCUGGGCAAACACCACCUGUAACCCAAUAAU